UUGGCGAACGGGGUGAGUAAUACAUAGGUAACCUACCCUUAAGACGAGGAUAGCCAUUGGAAACGAUGGAUAAAACUGGAUAGGAUAUAGAGGAAGAAUCUUUUAUAUUUUAAAAGAGAGAUCUGCUUAAGGAGGGGCCUGUGGCGCAUUAGCUAGUUGGUGGGGUAAGGGCCUACCAAGGCGAUGAUGCGUAGCCGGACUGAGAGGUUGAACGGCCACAAUGGAACUGAGAACGGUCCAUACUCCUACGGGAGGCAGCAG
rnacentral:rRNA from 1 species